rnacentral:rRNA from 1 species
CCCGCUGAACUUAAGCAUAUCAAUAAGCGGAGGAAAAGAAACUAACAAGGAUUCCCCUAGUAACUGCGAGUGAAGCGGGAAAAGCUCAAAUUUAAAAUCUGGCGGUCUUGCGGCCGUCCGAGUUGUAAUCUGGAGAAGCGUUUAUCCGCGUCGGACCGUGUACAAGUCUUCUGGAAGGGAGCGUCGUAGAGGGUGAGAAUCCCGUCUUUGACACGGACAACCGGUGCUUUCGUGAUGCGCUCUCGAAGAGUCGAGUUGUUUGGGAAUGCAGCUCAAAAUGGGUGGUAAAUUCCAUCUAAAGCUAAAUAUUGGCGAGAGACCGAUAGCGAACAAGUACCGUGAGGGAAAGAUGAAAAGAACUUUGGAAAGAGAGUUAAACAGUACGUGAAAUUGCUGAAAGGGAAACGCUUGAAGUCAGUCGCGUUGGCCAGGGAUCAACCUUGCUUUUGCUUGGCUUACUUUCUGGUCGAUGGGUCAGCAUCAAUUUUGACUGGUGGAAAAAGUUCAAGGGAAUGUGGCAUCUUCGGAUGUGUUAUAGCCUUUGUUCACAUACAUUGGUUGGGAUUGAGGAACUCAGCACGCCGCAAGGCCGGGUUUUUAACCACGUACGUGCUUAGGAUGCUGGCAUAAUGGCUUUAAUCGACCCGUCUUGAAACACGG